rnacentral:rRNA from 1 species
AGCGUUGUUCGGAAUUACUGGGCGUAAAGCGCGCGCAGGCGGUUUUCCAAGUCAGUGGUGAAAGCCCGGAGCUCAACUCCGGAACUGCCAUUGAAACUGUUAGACUUGAGUAUGAGAGAGGUGAGUGGAAUUCCCAGUGUAG